rnacentral:rRNA from 1 species
GUUCACGAGGAGGCAGCGGGCGCGGGAGUGCGUUGGGGGCGGGGGGUGGCAGGAGGUACUGGGCGUAAAGCGCGUGCAGGGUGCUCAUGACGGCGGGCGGGAAAGCCCGCGACUCAACCGGGGAGGGGCGGCGGGGACGGAUGGGCUGGAGGGUCGCAGGGGCUGGUGGAAUUCCCGGUGUAGUGGUGAAAUGCGUAGAGAUCGGGAGGAACACCCGUGGCGAAGGCGGCCAGCUGGGCGACACCUGACACUGAGACGCGAAGGUGUGGGGAGCGAACGGGAUUAGAUACCCCUGUAGUC